rnacentral:lncRNA from 1 species
GUUUUAUUAAAGCACGGUCCUGGAAGUCAAAACACAUGGAAGCAGCAAGCAAGGAGCAGCUCUGCCUGGCAUUGCACCUGCAAUAGGAAAUGAAGUUUGCAACUGCCUUGCACCCCUUUGCAUCAGCCAUAGAGCCCAGCCAUAAUGGACCUCACAGGAAAAGCAGAGCAGUGACACUAGAAAAGAUAAAGGAGAGAAAUACAGAAGUCAGUUCUAUGUUCUGUGGCUGGAGGAAGUGGAGAAGAGAAAGCAAACUCUGGCUCAUCAGCUAUACUGGGCAAACCAGCAAGACCAGCAGUGGUCAAGACGAGGCUCCUGUCACUCCUCUGCACUCCCAGUUUGUCAGUCACAGAGGACACCCUCUGAAGCUUAUUCUUGAAAGUUCCUGACUUCAUGUUCACCCUACUUUGUCAUCUCUUUUACAGAUUCAUCACUCUCU